GGAAGAGGGUGGUGCCUACAAAUUCCAGUAGGAAGUGAUGUAAGCAGGAUGGAUUGAGGACAUCACGCAGGAUGAGACGAAGACAACGAGAGACGAACAUCAUCACAGCUGAAAUCAGAUGAGCAGGAAACUUGGUCUUUCACAUGCUAUGGGGGAACCAGAUAAACCAACUGAGUCACCUGAAACACACCAAAACAUUAAAGUUAUAUGUAAUAGGAUGAAGAGGACCAUCGAGAAGUAGUGACAAGAAUGUCAGCAGGUUGCCUUGAUGCCGCUAUUAGGGAGUUCUUACGUUUCUAAAGCAGCUCCAGGAUCUUGUUCUGAAACAACACUCACAAAGUCUCACAAUGUAACAAAACCCUAAAUAAAGCUGAUACAACCACUGAA